rnacentral:rRNA from 1 species
GAGUUUGAUCGUGGCUCAGAUUGAACGCUGGCGGCAUGCCUUACACAUGCAAGUCGAACGGCAGCAUGAUCUAGCUUGCUAGAUUGAUGGCGAGUGGCGAACGGGUGAGUAAUACAUCGGAACGUGCCCUGUAGUGGGGGAUAACUAGUCGAAAGAUUAGCUAAUACCGCAUACGACCUGAGGGUGAAAGUGGGGGACCGCAAGGCCUCAUGCUAUAGGAGCGGCCGAUGUCUGAUUAGCUAGUUGGUGGGGUAAAGGCCCACCAAGGCGACGAUCAGUAGCUGGUCUGAGAGGACGAUCAGCCACACUGGGACUGAGACACGGCCCAGACUCCUACGGGAGGCAGCAGUGAGGAAUUUUGGACAAUGGGCGAAAGCCUGAUCCAGCAAUGCCGCGUGUGUGAAG